CCUUCUCGCUCUUUGAGGCUUCUUCAGGUCCGCCGCCUCAAAUUUCCUUCACUUCCUCUCUCUCUCUCUCGAAUCUAGGGUUUCAGUCUCCGAUCCUCCCCUUGUCGCCAUGGACGCGAUUGAAUCCGUCGUCGAUCCCCUCCGCGAUUUCACGAAGGACAGCGUUCGCCUCGUCAAGAGAUGCCACAAGCCAGAUCGCAAGGAGUUCACGAAAGUGGCGUUUCGGACCACGAUCGGAUUCGUUGUUAUGGGAUUCGUUGGGUUCUCGUCGUCAAGGUGCUGCGGAUAACAUCGAUUGCUGCAUUAAUCACGAUCCAUUGCUCUAGGUCGAUCCCUAGAGGUCAUGAGCAUAUACGUUCAAAUUACAUGUGCCAGUUACCCCAUUUCAGAUAUGUUCAGAGAUGCACCAAUUACCGGAUCAUUCGAUUCAUCCAUAAGGGGUCAGUACAAUAAUAAUAAUAAUACUUUUAUUGAUGGUCCAACUUCCCCUGGUUCUCCAAUAAUUGUUAAUGAACCUUGGGUUGCUUUCAGUCUCAGUCGGAGCCAAUAUGAGAAAGCAAGUGAAAAGAAUAAGGAAAGUCGAAACAGUCAAACGCUCUUGCACACAGCGGGUUCAAAAAGUUUCGCAAGAAUUCGCAGAGAUAUGGAAAAGGAAUUGAACCGGCCUCCAACAGAUGUAGAGUGUUUAUAGAGACUCGUAAAAAGAAGAAAAAAGCGCAACCAGAAAAAACACUUGACAUGAUUGGUACAUUGGAACAACUAACUCAGGAACAAACUGAAGGAGAAAAUGUAGAUGCAUGGCAUCUUGUCAAUAAAAAAGAACAUCCUGGACGUGUGCGUCUUCGGGGACGGGCGAUCAUCAUCGUCAUUUAGGGCUUUACUAAAGAUUUGGCAUUCUCAAAAUGCUAGGGCAGGCCAAGAAUCCUUCAGAUCCAUUACAAGAUCCUAUUACAGAGGAGCUGCAGGCGCACUAUUAGUCUAUGAUAUCACCAGGAGGGAGACUUUUAAUCAUCUGGCAGGCCAACAUAUCACCUUCCAAUUUCAGAAGUUUCAUGUUUUGUAAUCAAAUGUUGAUGUACAUUGUUUGAAUGUUAGUUCGGUACGAUAUUUUCUGAGUUGAAAUGUUGGUAGUGUGGAUUUAAUACUUUGUAGUUUUUAUACUAUACUGAUGUAUGUUGGCACUUAUCAUUAUGGUUGAUUAUGCUCAACAUAAUCACUUUUA